rnacentral:rRNA from 1 species
CGCGUAGGCGGCUUGCCAAGUCAGUGGUGAAAUCCUGCAGCUUAACUGCAGAAGUGCCUUUGAUACUGGCGAGCUCGAAGGAGGUAGGGGUAUGUGGAACUUCUGGUGAAGCGGUGAAAUGCGUUGAUAUCAGAAGGAACGCCGGUGGCGAAAGCGACGUACUGGACCUCUUCUGACGCUGAGGCGCGAAAGCUAGGGAGCAAACG